UACGUAGGGGGCAAGCGUUGUCCGGAUUUAUUGGGCGUAAAGAGCGUGUAGGCGGCCAGGUAGGUCUGCUGUGAAAACUCGAGGCUCAACCUCGAGCUGUCGGUGGAAACCAUCUGGCUAGAGUCCGGAAGAGGAGAGUGGAAUUCCCGGUGUAGCGGUGAAAUGCGCAGAUAUCGGGAAGAACACCCGUGGCGAAGGCGGCUCUCUGGGACGGUACUGACGCUGAGACGCGAAAGCGUGGGGAGCAACAGG
rnacentral:rRNA from 1 species